AUGACAGGAGAACUAUUUUUGUCUUUACUAGGUUAUGUUCUUUCAAUUUGGUAUUUGCCUGAAGUUUAUUUUUAAUUGUUUAAAUUUAUUUAACAUAAAAAUGUAGCAAUCAUUCAUACACGUGAUGCAGUCAAAUACCAGAAGGAUGUGUCCAUUCAGAAAGCCAUGUCUUGGAUCAUUUGUUCAGCCACUUUCAGGAACAGGAAGUUGUUGAGCUUCUUCACUCAGAGUUGUGACCAAGUGAAGUGUGUGUGUAUGUGUGUAAUUGAGCUGCUGUGAAAGCUGCUGGUUCUGGAUAAAUAACAUUUGCACAGCCCAGCCCUUAGUACAGACAAAACAUGAUACCAUCAUCAAGGGACUCCAGUUACCAGUAAGGGCCGGUGGAAAGCGAAGCGUGGAGCAUCAGAAGAAACUGAGAAAUAGUUAUAUAGUACAGCGCCUAAUGAGGUGGGAAGACCACGAAUGAGGAGUAGGUAUGGAUCUAGAAGGAUACGAUGGUACAGAAGUUUGAUAUAUCAAGAAAACUUCACGGAUUAGCCAAGACAACAACAUGGGGUCAAUCUCUCCAAUGUAAAGGACGGGUUAUUUUUUUACCUGUUUUUCAAACGCCUUCAACCAACAAUAGUACCACAAUACAAAAGAACAACCAUCACGAGUAACGCUUCACUGACAGUUCCUUUAACAUACAACUUUCAGCCUUUUGGCGUAAUGGAGUGUGAUACUGGCUACUGACCACUGAUACGGAGAGCACAGCCACGCGGCUCUGUGCGCAUGAGCAGCGGGUUCUCUACGCCGUCCGAUAACAGGCCUCAAAGCGAUUUGCUCUUUUUGCUUUGUUUAGUUGCAGUUCUUGAGAUUAAUCCGUUAUAGAGACUAUGGAUCAGUCAUGUAACUUUUCCGAAAGUACUUAGAGGAUAUCUAUAAAAUUUCGAGACGGUUUUCUCCACCAGAUGUAGUUUUUUGGUUCUUGUACAUCAUACACAAAUUUUACUUUCAGUGAAACUCAGAUUAAUCAUCGUCAGUUUCCUCAGAAACUGUUCGUCGUAUAGA